CCAGCGAAGAUGGCUGACAGUCAGAGUUGAAGUGGAAGAAUUAAAUAGGGUGAUAGAGAAACAACUGAGAAAAGAGGGGAGAGCAUCCAGGUGGAAGGAGUCAGUGAAGACGUCGUCCAUGAAGUUCUUUCUAUGUGGUUCACAUCAUGAACAAAUUUGUUUUUGUGUGUUUUCAAGUUCAACUGUUGUAAUAUAUUAUUUUAUAAAAUAUACACAAUCUUAAAUCUAC